AUUGAACGCUGGCGGCAGGCCUAACACAUGCAAGUCGAGCGGAUGAAGGGAGCUUGCUCCUGGAUUCAGCGGCGGACGGGUGAGUAAUGCCUAGGAAUCUACCUGGUAGUGGGGGAUAACGUCCGGAAACGGGCGCUAAUACCGCAUACGUCCAGAGGGAGAAAGUGGGGGAUCUUCGGACCUCACGCUAUCAGAUGAGCCUAGGUCGGAUUAGCUAGUUGGUGGGGUAAAGGCCUACCAAGGCGACGAUCCGUAACUGGUCUGAGAGGAUGAUCAGUCACACUGGAACUGAGACACGGUCCAGACUCCUACGGGAGGCAGCAGUGGGGAAUAUUGGACAAUGGGCGAAAGCCUGAUCCAGCCAUGCCGCGUGUGUGAAGAAGGUCUUCGGAUUGUAAAGCACUUUAAGUUGGGAGGAAGGGCAGUAAGAUAAUACCUUGCUGUUUUGACGUUACCAACAGAAUAAGCACCGGCUAACUUCGUG
rnacentral:rRNA from 1 species